rnacentral:tRNA from 1 species
GGGCUGGAGCCCAGUGAUAGAGCACUUGUCUACCACAUGUGAGGCCCUGAGUUCGAUCCUCAGCACCACA